rnacentral:piRNA from 1 species
UUAGACCACAGAACCAUGGGAUGAUAA